GCAAGCCUCCAUCUUUGCUGUCUCUCUGUGAAGACCAAAAGAGGAUUAGUGUGGAGGAGAUUCUUUGGGAGUGUUUUCAUUUCUCUGUGGGUUUUGUAGAAAGAAAUUGUUAUCUGUGUAGAAGCCACUUUCGGUCUCCUGGCUUCUACCCCUGGCCUGCUGGCAGGGCAUUGGGCAGCACCCUUUCCAGCCCACCUGGGUGUGGGAGAUCGAGGAGGAGGAUAAAGGAAGGACCAACACCGAGCAUCUGCGAUCCAGCUCCAUCCCAUCUAGAGCAAUUCCAGGAUGGAGCGGUGGAAGCGGAUGCUGAGGAGGAAGGCCGAGCAGGUGGCUCCAGAGCUAGAGGGAAGCAGCAGGCAGCUUGCCCAGGAGGAGAGAGGCCCCUCUGUCCCUGCGGGCAGGGAAGAGGCUUGUGGCCAGGCAAAGCGGAGGAGCUCCCUGGCAUUCUGGAGGAGUAUGCAGACACCAGCUCCCAUUGCAGGCCCUGAGGCACCUUCUGGGCCCAAAUGGAGGUGGCCAGGGUGCAGCUAUGGAGGAGGGACCCAGGAGAGGGCAGGAGCCGGGCAAGGCAGCUGUGGGGCUUCCUUUACAGGAAGCAGAGAAGCCAGGAGCUGCACUCCAAGUCCCAUCAGGAGCCAUCUACCACCCCGGAUGCUGAGGAGCCCCCCACCAGCCCAGAGCAGGAGAUGGGCGACUCUGGGACCAGCACCAGCAGCUCUGCCUACUCCCAAGGGGCCAGCAGC